rnacentral:ncRNA from 1 species
UAAUGGUUCUAAUGAUUAAAAGGGAAUUAAGUGAAAAACUUAAGCGGUCCCGCCACUGUAAAGAGGACGAAAACAUCAAAACCACUGAAUAUUUUUUAUUUGGGAAGGGAUGUAAGUAGGGUGAAUCUAAGUCAGGAGACCUGCCAUUAUG